rnacentral:rRNA from 1 species
GCAUAAUCAUUUGCCCUUUAAUUGGGGGCUAGUAUGAACGGACCAAACGAGGUUAACUCUGUCUCAUAUAAACUUCAGUAAAUUAGUCUUCAGGUGAAGAAACCUGAAUCAGUUGAAAAGACAAGAAGACCCUAUUGAGUUUUAUUAUCUCCUCUAUCAUUUUAGGAAUAAUUUGGUUGGGGCGACCAAGGAGUACCAAAACCCUCCUUUACCUAUAAGAAUGAUAUUUCGAUCUAUAAUGAACCUUAAAUGAUUCACAGAAUAAACUACCAUAGGGAUAACAGGCUAAUUUUCUUAGAGAGACCAUAUUGAUAAGAAAGU